GAUGAACGCUGGCGGCGUGCCUAAUACAUGCAAGUCGAGCGAACAGAUGAGGAGCUUGCUCCUCUGACGUUAGCGGCGGACGGGUGAGUAACACGUGGAUAACCUACCUAUAAGACUGGGAUAACUUCGGGAAACCGGAGCUAAUACCGGAUAAUAUAUUGAACCGCAUGGUUCAAUAGUGAAAGACGGUUUUGCUGUCACUUAUAGAUGGAUCCGCGCCUCAUUAGCUAGUUGGUAAGGUAACGGCUUACCAAGGCAACGAUGCGUAGUCGACCUGAGAGGGUGAUCGGCCACACUGGAACUGAGACACGGUCCAGACUCCUACGGGAGGCAGCAGUAGGGAAUCUUCCGCAAUGGGCGAAAGCCUGACGGAGCAACGCCGCGUGAGUGAUGAAGGUCUUCGGAUCGUAAAACUCUGUUAUUAGGGAAGAACAAAUGUGUAAGUAACUAUGCACGUCUUGACGGUACCUAAUCAGAAAGCCACGGCUAACUACGUG
rnacentral:rRNA from 1 species